rnacentral:rRNA from 1 species
CCUGAGUACGGCGGGACACGUGAAAUCCCGUCGGAAUCUGGGAGGACCAUCUCCCAACCCUAAAUACUCCCUAGUGACCGAUAGUGAACCAGUACCGUGAGGGAAAGGUGAAAAGCACCCCGGGAGGGGAGUGAAAUAGAACCUGAAACCGUGUGCCUACAACAAGUUCGAGCCCGUUAAUAGACAGGAGCGUGCCUUUUGUAGAAUGAACCGGCGAGUUACGUUAUGAUGCGAGGUUAAGUUGAAGAGACGGAGCCGUAGGGAAACCGAGUCUGAAUAGGGCGCCUUAGUAUCAUGACGCAGACCCGAAACCAUGUGACCUACCCAUGAGCAGGUUGAAGGUGCGGUAAGACGCACUGGAGGACCGAACCAGGGCACGUUGAAAAGUGCUUGGAUGACUUGUGGGUAGCGGAGAAAUUCCAAACGAACUUGGAGAUAGCUGGUUCUCUCCGAAAUAGCUUUAGGGCUAGCGUCGACAUUAGAGAUUCUUGGAGGUAGAGCACUGUUUGGGUGAGGGGUCCAUCCCGGAUUACCAAUCUCAGAUAAACUCCGAAUGCCAAUGAAUUAUGGUCGGCAGUCAGACUGCGAGUGCUAAGAUCCGUAGUCGAAAGGGAAACAGCCCAGACCACCAGCUAAGGUCCCAAAAUAAUUGUUAAGUGGAAAAGGAUGUGGGGUUGCACAGACAACUAGGAUGUUAGCUUAGAAGCAGCUAUUCAUUCAAAGAGUGCGUAAUAGCUCACUAGUCGAGUGACCCUGCGCCGAAAAUGUACCGGGGCUAAAACAAUUUACCGAAGCUGUGGAUACCUUUAUAGGUAUGGUAGGAGAGCGUUCUAUGUGUGAUGAAGGUAUACCGUGAGGAGUGCUGGAACGCAUAGAAGUGAGAAUGCCGGUAUGAGUAGCGAAAGACAGGUGAGAAUCCUGUCCACCGUAAGACUAAGGUUUCCAGGGGAAGGCUCGUCCGCCCUGGGUUAGUCGGGACCUAAGGAGAGACCGAAAGGUGUAUCCGAUGGACAACAGGUUGAUAUUCCUGUACUAGAGUAUGUAGUGAUGGAGGGACGCAGUAGGCUAACUAAAGCAGACGAUUGGAAGAGUCUGUCUAAGCAGUGAGGUGUGAAUUGAGUCAAAUGCUUAAUUCUAUAACAUUGAGCUGUGAUGGGGAGCGAAGUUUAGUAGCGAAGUUAGUGACGUCACACUGCCAAGAAAAGCUUCUAGCGUUUAAACAUACUCUACCCGUACCGCAAACCGACACAGGUAGUCGAGGCGAGUAGCCUCAGGUGAGCGAGAGAACUCUCGUUAAGGAACUCGGCAAAAUGACCCCGUAACUUCGGGAGAAGGGGUGCUGACUUAAAGUCAGCCGCAGUGAAUAGGCCCAAGCAACUGUUUAUCAAAAACACAGCUCUCUGCUAAAUCGUAAGAUGAUGUAUAGGGGGUGACGCCUGCCCGGUGCUGGAAGGUUAAGAGGAGUGCUUAGCGUAAGCGAAGGUAUGAAUUGAAGCCCCAGUAAACGGCGGCCGUAACUAUAACGGUCCUAAGGUAGCGAAAUUCCUUGUCGGGUAAGUUCCGACCCGCACGAAAGGCGUAAUGAUUUGGGCACUGUCUCAACGAGAGACUCGGUGAAAUUUUAGUACCUGUGAAGAUGCAGGUUACCCGCGACAGGACGGAAAGACCCCAUGGAGCUUUACUGCAGUUUGAUAUUGAGUGUCUGUACCACAUGUACAGGAUAGGUAGGAGUCUAAGAGAUCGGGACGCCAGUUUCGAAGGAGACGCUGUUGGGAUACUACCCUUGUGUUAUGGCCACUCUAACCCAGAUAGGUGAUCCCUAUCGGAGACAGUGUCUGACGGGCAGUUUGACUGGGGCGGUCGCCUCCUAAAAGGUAACGGAGGCGCCCAAAGGUUCCCUCAGAAUGGUUGGAAAUCAUUCGCAGAGUGUAAAGGUAUAAGGGAGCUUGACUGCGAGAGCUACAACUCGAGCAGGGACGAAAGUCGGGCUUAGUGAUCCGGUGGUUCCGUAUGGAAGGGCCAUCGCUCAACGGAUAAAAGCUACCCUGGGGAUAACAGGCUUAUCUCCCCCAAGAGUUCACAUCGACGGGGAGGUUUGGCACCUCGAUGUCGGCUCGUCGCAUCCUGGGGCUGUAGUCGGUCCCAAGGGUUGGGCUGUUCGCCCAUUAAAGCGGCACGCGAGCUGGGUUCAGAACGUCGUGAGACAGUUCGGUCCCUAUCCGUCGCGGGCGUAGGAAAUUUGAGAGGAUCUGCUCCUAGUACGAGAGGACCAGAGUGGACUUACCGCUGGUGUACCAGUUGUCUUGCCAAAGGCAUCGCUGGGUAGCUAUGUAGGGAAGGGAUAAACGCUGAAAGCAUCUAAGUGUGAAACCCACCUCAAGAUGAGAUUUCCCAUGAUUAU